rnacentral:rRNA from 1 species
UGAGGAAUUUUCCGCAAUGGGCGAAAGCCUGACGGAGCAAUACCGCGUGAGGGAUGACUGCCUAUGGGUUGUAAACCUCUUUUUUCAGGGAGGAACAAAAUGACGUGUACCUGAAGAAUAAGCAUCGGCUAACUCCGUGCCAGCAGCCGCGGUAAGACGGAGGAUGCAAGUGUUAUCCGGAAUCACUGGGCGUAAAGCGUCUGUAGGUGGUUUAAUAAGUCAACUGUUAAAUCUUGAGGCUCAACCUCAAAAUCGCAGUCGAAACUAUUAGACUAGAGUAUAGUAGGGGUAAAGGGAAUUUCCAGUGGAGCGGUGAAAUGCGUAGAGAUUGGAAAGAACACCGAUGGCGAAGGCACUUUACUGGGCUAUUACUAACACUCAGAGACGAAAGCUAGGGUAGCAAAUGGGAUUAGAUACCCCAGUAGUCCUAGCUGUAAACAAUGGAUACUAGAUGUUGAACAGAUCGACCUGUGCAGUAUUAAAGCUAACGCGUUAAGUAUCCCGCCUGGGAAGUAUGCUCGCAAGAGUG